ACGAACGCUGGCGGCAUGCCUAACACAUGCAAGUCGAACGAGACCUUCGGGUCUAGUGGCGCACGGGUGCGUAACGCGUGGGAACCUGCCCUUAGGUUCGGAAUAACUCCCCGAAAGGGGAGCUAAUACCGGAUAAUGUCUUCGGACCAAAGAUUUAUCGCCUUUGGAUGGGCCCGCGUUGGAUUAGCUAGUUGGUAGGGUAAAAGCCUACCAAGGCGACGAUCCAUAGCUGGUCUGAGAGGAUGAUCAGCCACACUGGGACUGAGACACGGCCCAGACUCCUACGGGAGGCAGCAGUGGGGAAUAUUGGACGAUGGGCGAAAGCCUGAUCCAGCAAUGCCGCGUGAGUGAUGAAGGCCUUAGGGUUGUAAAGCUCUUUUACCCGGGAUGAUAAUGACAGUACCGGGAGAAUAAGCUCCGGCUAACUCCGUG
rnacentral:rRNA from 1 species